rnacentral:rRNA from 1 species
UACGAAGGGGGCUAGCGUUGUUCGGAAUUACUGGGCGUAAAGCGCACGUAGGCGGGCGAUUAAGUCAGGGGUGAAAUCCCGGAGCUCAACCCCGGAACUGCCUUUGAAACUAGGUUGCUAGAAUCUUGGAGAGGUCAGUGGAAUUCCGAGUGUAGAGGUGAAAUUCGUAGAUAUUCGGAAGAACACCAGUGGCGAAGGCGACUGACUGGACAAGUAUUGACGCUGAGGUGCGAAAGCGUGGGGAGCAAACAGG